GACCCUACGGGGGGCAGCAGUGAGGAAUAUUGGUCAAUGGACGAGAGUCUGAACCAGCCAAGUAGCGUGAAGGAUGACUGCCCUAUGGGUUGUAAACUUCUUUUAUAAAGGAAUAAAACGAGGCACGUGUGCCUUUUUGCAUGUACUUUAUGAAUAAGCAUCGGCUAACUCCGUGCCAGCAGCCGCGGUAAUACGGAGGAUGCGAGCGUUAUCCGGAUUUAUUGGGUUUAAAGGGUGCGCAGGCGGGCUGUUAAGCCGGCGGUAAAAAUUCAGGGCUCAACCCUGUCGAGCCGUCGGAACUGGCA
rnacentral:rRNA from 1 species